rnacentral:lncRNA from 1 species
UUAGCCCAUACGUGCUGCCACAGUCAACUGCUCCACCCAUUGGGAAUCUAAAUGAGCCUCUCGGUAACCUGAACAAGGUAGCCCUGGUGCACUGCUGCGGCCAAUUGCUUCAUCUGUUGGGAGCUGAGCAAACAGCUCAGGGAGCAUGAGACUCCGGACUAGCUCACCAAAUAUUGUAACCAAACUCAGGUUCGGGACACUUGACACCUGAACAACCAAUGCUCAAGAGACAAGUGUUGGUAAGAAGGAAAGUUAGCUUUAUUAGGGAAGCAGGCAAGUUGGGAAAUUAGUGACCUUGUUUCAAGACUACCUCUCUGAAUUGUAGCUCUGGACCAAGAGUUUUUACGGGAAAUCAGGAUAAGUGGAUUCAAAAUGGAGUCAGUGCUGUUACAAUAAGAUCUUCUACUCAAUAAAGAAGCAAAAGUACUCACAGCAGAGUGGGAUUGCUGUGAGAAGGAGCCAUGUAAGUAAAAAGGGAAACUGAUGCCUGAUACACAGUAAAUAAAAUAUAAUUCCUGGAAGAAUGCAGUGUGAUGUGUAAGGAACAACACAACUCUGGAUGGUGUGCUUGAAAAUGUUAUUUCAGCCGCAAUUAGAAAAUAAGAGAACAUUCUGAAAAAUGCACUGAAAAGACCUACAAUAUGGAAACCUCUGCAUUUACGCAUGACUACCAAACCUUCCCACUCAUAACUGGGUAAAACAUGCUUGCCCCUAUCUCAAGGGUAGAUCCUUUUCAUGAGCUGCAGUGGUUUUCCACUCGUGUUCUCAAGUGAGAGUGUUUACUGGUGUUCUCUCUGCAAAUCAGCCACAAGUCACGGUAGCCCUAUCUGGAGUAUUUUCUAGUCCUUACCUGUUCACAGCCUGCUUUAAAUUAGUCAAAAGGCAGCACCUUAAGGUUCCCUGAAACAUCUUAGAUACACAGCUCAUAGGCAGAUGGGACUUGCCUUGUCUCAGAUGAGACCUUGGACUGUGGACUUCUGAGUUAAUGCUGAAAUGAAUUAAGACUUUGGGGGACUAUUGCUACGCCACUAGAACAAAAAUACCUGAAGCCAACUGAAACUAAGCUGAGAUUUGCUGCCUGAAAACAAGCCCAGCCAAUCCCAGUGAAAGCCAGCCGAUCCAAUGAUAAAAACAGAGCCUCAGCCAAUAUCUACACCAAUGAAUGGAGAAAUAAAUGUUCAUUGUUUAAACAACUGAGUCAGGAUGUUGUAUUUCAGAGUAUUAUUUUGACAAGAGCUGAUAAAUACAGAAAUUGAUACCAGAUAUAGGGUGCUGAUAGUAAUGUGUAAUGAGGAAACCCUUUUAAGAGGCUGAGAAAACAAUGGCAUCUAUUAUGUAGAAAUAUGACUUUUGGUAAAGAUUGUCAUUUCACUAAGUGGAAAAAUUCUACAAAUGUAUCUAGUAAAUUAAUUUUCUUUUAUCAAAGAAGUUUAUAGGUAGACCUUUAAUAGUGUGAACUAUAUUUGAUAAGAUAUAACAAUAACAAACCUGAUAGGCUUAGAAAAGGACAAGCCAAUUUGUCAACAGAAAUGUGAAAGAGCAGAGAAAGAUAAGAAACUGAAUAGUAAUUAAAAUUAUUUCUAACCAAAGUUGUGACCAUUAAAAAGUAGCCGCUAGAAAAAGACUAAAUUCAACAUGAGAUCACAAGACAUGCCAUCAAGACAAACAUAAAAUCAGAGACAUGUAAAAGGAUUAAGGUGUCUUUAAUAGGCUAAUUGUCCUACACAUUAUAGUUUUGUUUGUUUGUUUGUUUGUUUUAGAUGGAGUUUCACUCUUGCUGCCCAGGCUGGAGAACAGUGGCACGAUCUUGUCUCACCACAACCUCUACCUCCUGGGUUCAAGAGAUUCUCCUGUCAGCCUCCCAAGUAGCUGGAAUUACAGGCAUGCGCCACCACACCUGGCUAAUUUCUUUGUAUUUUUAGUAGCCACAGGGUAUCUCCAUGUUGAUCAGGCUGGUCUCGAACUCCCAACCUCAGGUGAUCCACCCACCUCAGCCUCCCAGAGUGCUGGGAUUACAGGCGUGAGCCACCGCACCAGUCUCACAUUAUGUUUUUAUCCAAAUUACCUGUAGUCAAGUCUAGACUGAGGCAAAGAAGAAGGUAGACAGACAGGUAGGCAGGUAGGUAGGUAGGUAGGUAGGUAUAGUCACAAAUCAAAGUGUGGGUAUGUUUUUUGGAAAAUGGAAUUAUGUAAGAUCAUACAUAGAAAACUCACCACAUAUUUCAGACAGCUGUGCUAAUGAAAGCACCCACACCCUGGAUUAAAAGAAACUAUUUGAGAUGAAAAAGCAUAAUGCAUGUGCCACCAGUAUCAUACUUGUAAUUGGACUAAAAGAGUCUCAAGUUGCCAAGGAGGGAAUAGUCUCCAGUUAUUUCCUCUAAGGAGUAAGAACAGGAGAGACAUCCUGGAAAGCGGAGGCAAAUACUGUCAAUAAUAUUGAAUUUGGGACCUGUUUUGAAACAAGAAGAAAGAAUCCUAAACCAGUAAACUAUCUAAACAAAGGGUAACGUGAAAACAUUUAUCCAGUUGCCAUAUACCACUGAAUUCUAUAUGACUCAAAUGAUUUCCGUUUUCAAAUAUCACAAUUCCACCAGUUGUUCUGAACCUCCUUUAUUUUCUUUUUUCAUAAUUGCAUGUUUCAUGUAUGUUUUUGUUUACUGGUCUCUGGAGCAAGAAAAGCUACAUUCACACUUAGUAUGUUCUCAGUAUUCUAGAAUUUUAGCCUAAGGCUAUAAAUAAAUGAGACUUUUAAUGAUGCAUAAGGAAGGUGUGUAUGUAUAUUUUACACGCAAGAGGAAAGAAAGAGGAUGUUUGUGAACAAGAGUUUGGACUGCAAUAAC